rnacentral:rRNA from 1 species
AAGUAAAAGUCGUAACAAGGUUUCCGUAGGUGAACCUGCGGAAGGAUCAUUACCGUGGUGGGCGGCCCUUUGGGGCAUGUCCCGCCCGAGAUAGAACCCUUGNUUCUGAGUACCGUUUNGUUUCCUCGGCAGGCUCGCCUGCCAACGGGGACCCAAAUCAAACCUNUUGGUAAUGCAGUAACNGUCUUAAAACAAAUAAAUCAAAACUUUCAACAACGGAUCUCUUGGUUCUGGCAUCGAUGAAGAACGCAGCGAAAUGCGAUAAGUAGUGUGAAUUGCAGAUUUCAGUGAAUCAUCGAAUCUUUGAACGCACAUUGCGCCCUUUGGCAUUCCUUANGGCAUGCCUGUUCGAGCGUCAUCUAAACCUUCAAGCACUGCUUGAUGUUGGGCGUCUGUCCCGCCUCGGGCGCGGACUCGCCUCAAAAGCAUUGGCGGCCCGUGUGACAGCUUUGAGCGCAGCAGACGCGCGCCUCGUCUCCACGCACCGGCGUCCAGCAAGCCUUACCCACUAAAUUUGACCUCGGAUCAUGUAGGGAUACCCGCUGAACUUAAGCAUAUCAAUA